AAUUUGAUGUCAUGCAGCAAUUGGAACGUGAGCUUGAGGCCAUGUCUACCUUUGAUUACUGAGAAGUUACGUUACUCCUCGUGAAGAAGUUCUUGCGAGCACGUUUGGAGGAUUUAGCAGGCAAAGAUACCAAAGAGAAAUCUAAUGCUGCUAUAAAAGACCUUUUUGUGAAGCUUGCACUUGAGGCCAAAAGCAAUGUCAACAAAGGAGGUGGUGAUUCAAAACAGAUACAGGCAAUGUCAAAGAAAAAGAAGAAGGAUUACAGAAGAGCUAAGAAUCCAAAGGUUUUCAACUGUGUUGGGUCUGGUUCUGUUUCUUUUAUUAGGACUGCUUUCAUUUGAUACCACCUAAUCUUUUUUUUUUCUUCUCAGGGCGUUGGUCAGGACAAAGAUACUCUCACCCAUCAGGAAACUGAAGAACAAGCGAAGCUGAGGCUACUUUGAAUGCUAAGGAUAUCCAAUCACAAAUACAAAAUCACCUAUGGUUGUAGUACGAAAGUAGCUACAGUAAAGCUAGGGUCCUUAAAGAAUCGUUGUUGAUGUGAUUAUGAUGUCUUCUUGGUUUCCAUUUGCAGAUGUGUGAUUAGGACAUCGAUGUUUUAGGUGGUGGCAACAGCCUGUGGAGUUGGACUAGCCAUCAACUUCACCUCUAUGUGGUUUUUAAACCAAACAGGUACCACCACGUACAAGUAAGAGUCAUAUGCCACUGAGAGACUACUAAUGAAUAGUCUUCCUACCGC